GUUUCAUGAAAAUUUAAUAUAGAAUUUUAUCUUUUAGUUAAAAAGCUAAAAUAAAUUCAAAAGACGAGAAGACCCUAUAAAUCUUUAUUAUUUUAAAAAUUAAUAUUUUUUUAGAUUAAUUAAUUUGUGAUUUUUAAAAUAAUUUUAUUGGGGUGAUAGUAAAAUUUAAAAAACUUUUAUAUAUUUAUGUCAUUUAUUUAUGAAUAAUUGAUCCAUUUAUAGUGAUUAUUAAUUUAAGUUACUUUAGGGAUAACAGCGUAAUAUUUUUGGAGAGUUCAUAUCGAUAAAAAUGUUUGCGACCUCGAUGUUGGAUUAAGAUUCAUAUUUAAAUGCAGAAGUUUAAAUAUUAAGUCUGUUCGACUUUUUAUUCUUACAUGAUCUGAGUUCAGACCGGCGUAAGCCAGGUUGGUUUCUAUCUUUGAAUAAUAAAAUAUUUUAGUACGAAAGGAAUAAAUAUUUGUUUUUAAAAAAUUUUUAUUUAAAU
rnacentral:rRNA from 1 species